rnacentral:rRNA from 1 species
GAGUAGGGCGGGACACGUGGUAUCCUGUCUGAAUAUGGGGGGACCAUCCUCCAAGGCUAAAUACUCCUGACUGACCGAUAGUGAACCAGUACCGUGAGGGAAAGGCGAAAAGAACCCCGGCGAGGGGAGUGAAAAAGAACCUGAAACCGUGUACGUACAAGCAGUGGGAGCACGCUUAGGCGUGUGACUGCGUACCUUUUGUAUAAUGGGUCAGCGACUUAUAUUCUGUAGCAAGGUUAACCGAAUAGGGGAGCCGAAGGGAAACCGAGUCUUAACUGGGCGUUAAGUUGCAGGGUAUAGACCCGAAACCCGGUGAUCUAGCCAUGGGCAGGUUGAAGGUUGGGUAACACUAACUGGAGGACCGAACCGACUAAUGUUGAAAAAUUAGCGGAUGACUUGUGGCUGGGGGUGAAAGGCCAAUCAAACCGGGAGAUAGCUGGUUCUCCCCGAAAGCUAUUUAGGUAGCGCCUCGUGAAUUCAUCUCCGGGGGUAGAGCACUGUUUCGGCAAGGGGGUCAUCCCGACUUACCAACCCGAUGCAAACUGCGAAUACCGGAGAAUGUUAUCACGGGAGACACACGGCGGGUGCUAACGUCCGUCGUGAAGAGGGAAACAACCCAGACCGCCAGCUAAGGUCCCAAAGUCAUGGUUAAGUGGGAAACGAUGUGGGAAGGCCCAGACAGCCAGGAUGUUGGCUUAGAAGCAGCCAUCAUUUAAAGAAAGCGUAAUAGCUCACUGGUCGAGUCGGCCUGCGCGGAAGAUGUAACGGGGCUAAACCAUGCACCGAAGCUGCGGCAGCGACGCUUAUGCGUUGUUGGGUAGGGGAGCGUUCUGUAAGCCUGCGAAGGUGUGCUGUGAGGCAUGCUGGAGGUAUCAGAAGUGCGAAUGCUGACAUAAGUAACGAUAAAGCGGGUGAAAAGCCCGCUCGCCGGAAGACCAAGGGUUCCUGUCCAACGUUAAUCGGGGCAGGGUGAGUCGACCCCUAAGGCGAGGCCGAAAGGCGUAGUCGAUGGGAAACAGGUUAAUAUUCCUGUACUUGGUGUUACUGCGAAGGGGGGACGGAGAAGGCUAUGUUGGCCGGGCGACGGUUGUCCCGGUUUAAGCGUGUAGGCUGGUUUUCCAGGCAAAUCCGGAAAAUCAAGGCUGAGGCGUGAUGACGAGGCACUACGGUGCUGAAGCAACAAAUGCCCUGCUUCCAGGAAAAGCCUCUAAGCAUCAGGUAACAUCAAAUCGUACCCCAAACCGACACAGGUGGUCAGGUAGAGAAUACCAAGGCGCUUGAGAGAACUCGGGUGAAGGAACUAGGCAAAAUGGUGCCGUAACUUCGGGAGAAGGCACGCUGAUAUGUAGGUGAAGUCCCUCGCGGAUGGAGCUGAAAUCAGUCGAAGAUACCAGCUGGCUGCAACUGUUUAUUAAAAACACAGCACUGUGCAAACACGAAAGUGGACGUAUACGGUGUGACGCCUGCCCGGUGCCGGAAGGUUAAUUGAUGGGGUUAGCGCAAGCGAAGCUCUUGAUCGAAGCCCCGGUAAACGGCGGCCGUAACUAUAACGGUCCUAAGGUAGCGAAAUUCCUUGUCGGGUAAGUUCCGACCUGCACGAAUGGCGUAAUGAUGGCCAGGCUGUCUCCACCCGAGACUCAGUGAAAUUGAACUCGCUGUGAAGAUGCAGUGUACCCGCGGCAAGACGGAAAGACCCCGUGAACCUUUACUAUAGCUUGACACUGAACA